CGAGGGGAGCAAGCGUUAUUCGGAAUCACUGGGCGUAAAGGGCGUGUAGGCGGUUAAUUAAGUCAGUUGUUAAAUUUCCCGGCUUAACUGGGAAUCAGCGAUUGAAACUGGUUGACUAGAGGACAGAAGAGAGAAGUGGAAUUAUCGGAGUAGCGGUAAAAUGCGUAGAUCUCGAUAGGAACACCAAUUGCGAAGGCAGCUUCUUGGUCUGUUACUGACGCUGAGACGCGAAAGCGUGGGGAGCAAACAGGAUUAGAUACCCUGGUAGUCCACGCUGUAAACGAUGAUCACUAGAUGUAGGUCUUGCUUUGCGAGAUCUGUGUCGUAGCAAACGCGUUAAGUGAUCCGCCUGGGAAUUACGGCCGCAAGGCUA
rnacentral:rRNA from 1 species